rnacentral:rRNA from 1 species
GACGAACGCUGGCGGCGUGCUUAACACAUGCAAGUCGAACGGAAAGGCCCUGCUUUUGUGGGGUGCUCGAGUGGCGAACGGGUGAGUAACACGUGAGUAACCUGCCCUUGACUUUGGGAUAACUUCAGGAAACUGGGGCUAAUACCGGAUAGGAGCUCCUGCUGCAUGGUGGGGGUUGGAAAGUUUCGGCGGUUGGGGAUGGACUCGCGGCUUAUCAGCUUGUUGGUGGGGUAGUGGCUUACCAAGGCUUUGACGGGUAGCCGGCCUGAGAGGGUGACCGGGCACAUUGGGGCUGAGAUACGGCCCCGACUCCUACGGGGGGCAAGAGGGGGGAAUAUUGAACAAUGGGGGGAAGCCUGAUGCAAGAACGCCGCGUGCGGGAAGAAGGCCUUCGGGUUGGAAACCGCUUUCGCCUGGGACGAAGGGGGAGUGACGGUAAUGGGUAAAGAAGCACCGGCUAACUACGUG